rnacentral:rRNA from 1 species
UACAGAGGUCCCAAGCGUUGUUCGGAUUCACUGGGCGUAAAGGGUGCGUAGGUGGUGGGGUAAGUCGGAUGUGAAAUCUCCGAGCUCAACUCGGAAAUUGCAUUGGAAACUACCCUGCUUGAGGGUCGGAGGGGGGGACUGGAAUUCUCGGUGUAGCAGUGAAAUGCGUAGAUAUCGAGAGGAACACCAGUGGCGAAGGCGAGUCCCUGGACGACUCCUGACACUGAGGCACGAAAGCUAGGGGAGCAAACAGG